rfam:TPA: Bos taurus chromosome 16, whole genome shotgun sequence.
CUUCUUUGAGGACCACAGAAUAAAGACUUCAUGUUC